GUGGAAAGGCCUCAGUAUAGCCUCGGUCUCUCCUGGAAACUGUGUCGGGAUUUUGAGUCUCUGUGCUUGUGAAUUCUGUUUUGGAUAAUAUUGGUGCAAUUGUUGGACAAAAUGACUUGCUGUGGUAUUAAUUGCACUAAUAGAGCGUCCAAGGAGUCUCCACUUCAUUUUUUUCGGGAAGGACCUGAUUGGUGUCCAGAACCUGCUGAAGAAGCACCAGGCUCUGCAGGCUGAGAUCACAGGUCAUGAACCUCGCAUCAAGGCUGUCACCCAGAAAGGAGAGACCAUAAUGGAGGAAGGUCACUUCGCUGGUUCAGAACCCUCGGCCCGUCAGAACAUUCUUAUCCACCACGUUCUAACACCAGACCUGUUAACCCAACAGCAACAAGUGGCUCCAACUGACGAUGAGACCGGGAAGGAGCUGGUUCUGGCUCUGUACGACUACCAGGAGAAGAGUCCUGGAGAGGUCACCAUGAAGAAGGGCGACAUCCUCACGCUGCUCAACAGCACCAACAAGGUUGUUUUACUUGAACUCGCGUCUUUAGCUGAAUGAGGAUGGAGAGGCGGGUCGGACCUGGAGCAGGUCGAGGUCUUGCAGAAGAAGUUUGACGACUUCCAGAAGGACCUGAAGGCCAACGAGUCCCGCCUGAGGGACAUCAACAAGGUGGCAUGUGAACUGGAGUCAGAAGGUCUGAUGGCUGAGGAGGCUCCUAUGGUUCAGGCUCAGCAACAAGAACAUCUGGGUUCUGCUCCUGGAAAGACCGUACGGUUGGGCGUUCAGACGACGGCUAACUUUAAUUCCAUCAAGGUAAGAGGAAGCUCUUCCCUUCCUGUCUGAGCGAUCCGUCUCCAGGUUUCCUUGUCCGGCGUCCAGCCCGCUGGCGUCCACCUUCAUCUCACUGGGUUUGGUUUCUCUCCAGGAGCUGAACAACCGCUGGCGCUCGCUGCAACAUGCUGGGCAGCGCCCAUGAGGUGCAGCGCUUCCACAGAGACGCUGAUGAGACCAAAGAGUGGAUCGAGGAGAAGAACCAGGCCCUGAACACAGACAACUACGGCCACCACCUGGCCAGCGUUCAGGCUCUGCAGCGUGAACAUGAAGGCUUUGAGCGUGACCUGGCAGCUCUGGGUGAUAAGGUCCGCUUUCCUGAUCGGUACCAGGACCCGAGUUGUCUCUGGAGACACGUUCUUCAUGGUUCUGGUGACUCCACCCCAGCCGUUCCUGAUCAGCGAUCAGCGGGGUGCUUUCCUAUUUAAGGUGGAUGGAGGACAAAAUUUGACGCCAGAAGAUUGCCUCAGUUUUGGAUUCCUGUCGACCUCAUUGGAUACUGACCUCUACUCCAGGAUUUGGAUAUUCAACACACGGACCUUAUCACCAGCCUCCAUAACCCACCUCUCAUCUCACCCGUUGCCCCAUCCACCAGGACGCCCCGCUUCUCUCCACCUCUGCUCCCUCUCCUGCACUUCCCCCGGCUCUCUACCUCUCCCUCCUCCAGCCAACACAUACACCCACCACAGUAAGUCUGCUGAACACCUCUGCCUGCCUACAAUGGAUUUUGAAACCAGAACCUAAGCUCACCUGUGUUCUCCCUCCUCCAGAUGCUGAGCUGUUGUUGCAGUUCCAACCACAGACUUAUCUGUGCACCUUAAGUUCCUCCUUAUAAAUAAAUCAUUUUUUCCAUUAGUUUUUGGUCAGUGUUGUAUUCUGCAUGUCUUGGGUUAAGUACCUUCCUCCAAACAUGACACUCCUCCUCAAAGAGCAAAUCUGUUCAGCACAUUCUGACAGACAGACCACCAUUCUUCUGUCAUGAUGCUGUACAGGACAUUUUUAGAGUUUUUCUUUUUAAAGAUAAAUAGGAUUACAUUUAAAUAGCAAUACUUUCACAUUAUCAUUUUCCCACACUUCUGUAUAACUGUAUUUUGUUGUUUUUCAAUAAAGAAUGACAAACUAUUUAAGUUUGGAUUUGUUGCACACAAAUAUAUAUCUGUAAAAAAUAUCUACAAAGCUAAUGUUUACAUAACAAGUAUGAUUGGGUUUUGCAAUACGGCACUAUUUUAGUAAGAGUUUUAAACCAAGUAAAGUUAGUAAAGAACACAUUUCUAUUGUCUGCUAAGAAACUGUUGGGAUUUAAAAUGGGCCUGUUGUACAAAUAACUUGUAAAUGAUUAUUCCUCACUUUUGUCUUAACCAAAGAAAUUCCAGUAAUUGAGCAAAAACAUUUAUUUUUAACACUACAUUUUAUAAAACAGGGCGCAAAGUGUCGGCACAUGUAUGUAUGUCGAUGGUCCACCCCAACCAAACCAGGAGACACAGACGUCAGGGAGGCCAAGGUUGUCUCUGCAGCUCUCUGGGCACCACGCCUCACUCAGCUGUCUCCAAUGAUCCAAAUGGCUAUGGAGAAAAAAUAACAGGUCCUGCUACUUAUA